rnacentral:rRNA from 1 species
AGCGAACGCUGGCGGCAGGCCUAACACAUGCAAGUCGAACGAACUCUUCGGAGUUAGUGGCGGACGGGUGAGUAACACGUGGGAACGUGCCUUUAGGUUCGGAAUAACUCAGGAAACUUGUGCUAAUACCGAAUGUGCCCUUCGGGGGAAAGAUUUAUCGCCUUUAGAGCGGCCCGCGUCUGAUUAGCUAGUUGGUGAGGUAAAGGCUCACCAAGGCUACGAUCAGUAGCUGGUCUGAGAGGAUGACCAGCCACAUUGGGACUGAGACACGGCCCAAACUCCUACGGGAGGCAGCAGUGGGGAAUCUUGCGCAAUGGGCGAAAGCCUGACGCAGCCAUGCCGCGUGGAUGAUGAAGGUCUUAGGAUUGUAAAAUCCUUUCACCGGUGAAGAUAAUGACUGUAGCCGGAGAAGAAGCCCCGGCUAACUUCGUGCCAGCCGCCGCGGUAACAC